rnacentral:rRNA from 1 species
AGAUUAAGUUAUUAAGGGCGCACGGUGGAUGCCUUGGCACUAGAAGCCGAUGAAGGACGUUACUAACGACGAUAUGCUUUGGGGAGCUGUAAGUAAGCUUUGAUCCAGAGAUUUCCGAAUGGGGAAACCCAGCAUGAGUUAUGUCAU